rnacentral:rRNA from 1 species
GACGAACGCUGGCGGCGUGCUUAACACAUGCAAGUCGACUGAACUUAAGGUAGCAAUAUUUUAAGGGAGGUGGCGCACGGGUGAGUAACACGUAGGUAAUCUGCCUUUAGGACUGACAUAACCCAGAGAAAUCUGGGCUAAUAUCAGAUGAUGCAGCGGCUCGACAUCGAGACAGUUGUUAAACCUUCGGGGCCUAGAGAUGAGCCUGCGUCUGAUUAGGUAGUUGGCGGGGUAAUGGCCCACCAAGCCAUCGAUCAGUAGCUGGUCUGAGAGGAUGAUCAGCCACACUGGAACUGAGACACGGUCCAGACUCCUACGGGAGGCAGCAGUAAGGAAUAUUGCUCAAUGGCCGAAAGGCUGAAGCAGCAACGCCGCGUGGAGGAUGAAAUACUUUUGUAUGUAAACUCCUGUGAGAAGGGAAAAUAUGCAGAUUUUCUGUGUUGAUUGUACCUUCAGAGUAAGCCCCGGCUAA